UGAACUGGGGGAUAGCCCGGGGAAACCCGGAUUAAUACCCCGUAACACUGCGAGGUGGCAUCACCUUGUGGUUAUAGCUCCGGUGGUUCAGGAUGGGCGUGCGGCUGAUUAGGUAGUUGGUUGGGGUAACGGCCCACCAAGCCUGCGAUCAGUAACUGGUGUGAGAGCACGACCAGUCACACGGGCACUGAGACACGGGCCCGACUCCUACGGGAGGCAGCAGUAAGGAAUAUUGGGCAAUGGAGGCAACUNUGACCCAGCCAUGCCGCGUGGAGGAUGAAGGCCCUCUGGGUUGUAAACUUCUUUUACUUGGGACGAAACCACUUUUUUCUAAGGGUGUUGACGGUACCAAGGGAAUAAGCA
rnacentral:rRNA from 1 species